AGAGUUUGAUCCUGGCUCAGGAUGAACGCUAGCUACAGGCUUAACACAUGCAAGUCGAGGGGAAACGAUAUUGGAAGCUUGCUUCCGAUAGGCGUCGACCGGCGCACGGGUGAGUAACGCGUAUCCAACCUGCCCAUCACUUGGGAAUAACCUUGCGAAAGUAAGACUAAUGCCCAAUGACAUUUAUAGAAGGCAUCGGAAAUGAAUUAAAGAUUUAUCGGUGAUGGAUGGGGAUGCGUCUGAUUAGCUUGUUGGCGGGGUAACGGCCCACCAAGGCGACGAUCAGUAGGGGUUCUGAGAGGAAGGUCCCCCACAUUGGAACUGAGACACGGUCCAAACUCCUACGGGAGGCAGCAGUGAGGAAUAUUGGUCAAUGGGCGAGAGCCUGAACCAGCCAAGUAGCGUGCAGGAUGACGGCCCUAUGGGUUGUAAACUGCUUUUAUAGGGGAAUAAAGUGAGCCACGUGUGGUUUUUUGCAUGUACCCUAUGAAUAAGGACCGGCUAAUUCCGUGCCAGCAGCCGCGGUAAUACGGAAGGUCCGGGCGUUAUCCGGAUUUAUUGGGUUUAAAGGGAGCGUAGGCCGGAGAUUAAGCGUGUUGUGAAAUGUAGAUGCUCAACAUCUGCACUGCAGCGCGAACUGGUUUCCUUGAGUACGCAUAAAGUGGGCGGAAUUCGUGGUGUAGCGGUGAAAUGCUUAGAUAUCACGAAGAACUCCGAUUGCGAAGGCAGCUCACUGGGGCGCAACUGACGCUGAAGCUCGAAAGCGCGGGUAUCGAACAGGAUUAGAUACCCUGGUAGUCCGCGCGGUAAACGAUGGAUGCCCGCUGUUGGGCCAACUGGCUCAGCGGCCAAGCGAAAGCAUUAAGCAUCCCACCUGGGGAGUACGCCGGCAACGGCGAAACUCAAAGGAAUUGACGGGGGCCCGCACAAGCGGAGGAACAUGUGGUUUAAUUCGAUGAUACGCGAGGAACCUUACCCGGGCUUGAAUUGCAGAGGAAGGAUUUGGAGACAAUGACGCCCUUCGGGGCCUCUGUGAAGGUGCUGCAUGGUUGUCGUCAGCUCGUGCCGUGAGGUGUCGGCUUAAGUGCCAUAACGAGCGCAACCCCUCUCCGUAGUUGCCAUCGGGUGAUGCCGGGCACUCUGCGGACACUGCCACCGUAAGGUGUGAGGAAGGUGGGGAUGACGUCAAAUCAGCACGGCCCUUACGUCCGGGGCUACACACGUGUUACAAUGGGGCAUACAGA
rnacentral:rRNA from 1 species